rnacentral:rRNA from 1 species
AUUGAACGCUGGCGGCAUGCUUUACACAUGCAAGUCGAACGGCAGCGCGGGCUUCGGCCUGGCGGCGAGUGGCGAACGGGUGAGUAAUACAUCGGAACGUGCCCAGUAGUGGGGGAUAGCUCGGCGAAAGCCGGAUUAAUACCGCAUACGACCUGAGGGUGAAAGCGGGGGAUCUUCGGACCUCGCGCUAAUGGAGCGGCCGAUGGCAGAUUAGCUAGUUGGUGGGGUAAAGGCCUACCAAGGCGACGAUCUGUAGCUGGUCUGAGAGGACGACCAGCCACACUGGGACUGAGGCACGGCCCAGACUCCUACGGGAGGCAGCAGUGGGGAAUUUUGGACAAUGGGCGAAAGCCUGAUCCAGCAAUGCCGCGUGUGUGAUGAAGGCCUUCGGGUUGUAAAGCACUUUUGGCGGGAACGAAAAGGACUGUGCCAAUACCACGGUUCGAUGACGGUACCCGCAGAAUAAGCACCGGCUAACUACGUG